GAACCAGUACCGUGAGGGAAAGGUGAAAAGCACCCCGACGAGGGGAGUGAAACAGACCCUGAAACUGGACGCCUACAAGCAGUCGGAGGGCGAAAGCCUGACGGCGUACCUUUUGUAUAAUGGGUCAGCGACUUCGUCUCUCGAGCAAGCUUAAGCCGAUAGGUGUAGGCGUAGCGAAAGCGAGUCUUAAUAGGGCGACUGAGUUCGAGGGAUGAGACCCGAAGCCGGGUGAUCUAGCCAUGUGCAGGUUGAAGGUGCGGUAACACGCACUGGAGGACCGAACCCACGUAUGUUGAAAAA
rnacentral:rRNA from 1 species